GACGAACGCUGGCGGCGUGCUUAACACAUGCAAGUCGAACGCUGAAGCUUGGCGCUUGCACUGGGUGGAUGAGUGGCGAACGGGUGAGUAAUACGUGAGUAACCUGCCCUUGACUCUGGGAUAAGCCUGGGAAACUGGGUCUAAUACUGGAUACGACAUGCCACUGCAUGGUGGUGUGUGGAAAGGGUUUUACUGGUUUUGGAUGGGCUCACGGCCUAUCAGCUUGUUGGUGGGGUAAUGGCCUACCAAGGCGACGACGGGUAGCCGGCCUGAGAGGGUGACCGGCCACACUGGGACUGAGACACGGCCCAGACUCCUACGGGAGGCAGCAGUGGGGAAUAUUGCACAAUGGGCGGAAGCCUGAUGCAGCGACGCCGCGUGAGGGAUGACGGCCUUCGGGUUGUAAACCUCUUUCAGCACGGAAGAAGCGAGAGUGACGGUACGUGCAGAAGAAGCGCCGGCUAACUACGU
rnacentral:rRNA from 1 species